AGGCAGCAGUGAGGAAUAUUGGUCAAUGGCCGCAGGGCUGAACCAGCCAAGUCGCGUGAGGGAUGACGGUCCUAUGGAUUGUAAACCUCUUUUGUCAGGGAGCAAAGGGCGCCACGUGUGGCGCUUUGCGAGUACCUGAAGAAAAAGCAUCGGCUAACUCCGUGCCAGCAGCCGCGGUAAUACGGAGGAUGCGAGCGUUAUCCGGAUUUAUUGGGUUUAAAGGGUGCGCAGGCGGAAUGUCAAGUCAGCGGUAAAAUUUCGGGGCUCAACCCCGUCGUGCCGUUGAAACUGGCGUUCUUGAGUGAGCGAGAAGUAUGCGGAAUGCGUGGUGUAGCGGUGAAAUGCAUAGAUAUCACGCAGAACUCCGAUUGCGAAGGCAGCAUACCGGCGCUCAACUGACGCUCAUGCACGAAAGCGUGGGUAUCGAACAGGAUUAGAUACCCUGGUAGUCCACGCAGUAAACGAUGAAUACUAACUGUCCGGGCAGAAUGAUGCCUGG
rnacentral:rRNA from 1 species